GACAGACUUAUGGGUGUCCACUGUACCCAUGGUUUAAACAGGACUGGCUACCUCAUCUGCAGAUAUUUGAUUGAUGUAGAAGGCAUGUGGCCAGAUGAUGCAAUUGAAUACUGGUGUUUUAUCUUUACAAGUUCUGCGUCGUUCCAUAAGAAAGCUGCUCUUCUUCUGGUUUCAUAAGAGAUGGUGAACAAUGGUAAAAUAUCCAGUUUACCUAAAUUUCUAGAGUACACUUCAGGGAGCAAAUGAUGGGGUGGGAUGUUGGGGCCGAGUGAGAGCUACAGAUUCUGGUGAGACUGAGAGUCAGUCACAAAAAUUACUGGGCUGUGGUGAAGGGAGAACAAAUA